rnacentral:rRNA from 1 species
CAAGUCGAACGAUGAUCAGGAGCUUGCUCCUGUGAUUAGUGGCGAACGGGUGAGUAACACGUGAGUAACCUGCCCCUGACUCUGGGAUAAGCGUUGGAAACGACGUCUAAUACUGGAUAUGAUCACUGGUCGCAUGGCCUGGUGGUGGAAAGAUUUUUUGGUUGGGGAUGGACUCGCGGCCUAUCAGCUUGUUGGUGAGGUAAUGGCUCACCAAGGCGACGACGGGUAGCCGGCCUGAGAGGGUGACCGGCCACACUGGGACUGAGACACGGCCCAGACUCCUACGGGAGGCAGCAGUGGGGAAUAUUGCACAAUGGGCGAAAGCCUGAUGCAGCAACGCCGCGUGAGGGAUGACGGCCUUCGGGUUGUAAACCUCUUUUAGUAGGGAAGAAGGGAGCUUCGGUUCUUGACGGUACCUGCAGAAAAAGCACCGGCUAACUACGUGCCAGCAGCCGCGGUAAUACGUAGGGUGCAAGCGUUGUCCGGAAUUAUUGGGCGUAAAGAGCUCGUAGGCGGUUUGUCGCGUCUGCUGUGAAAUCCCGAGGCUCAACCUCGGGCUUGCAGUGGGUACCGGCAGACUAGAGUGCGGUAGGGGAGAUUGGAAUUCCUGGUGUAGCGGUGGAAUGCGCAGAUAUCAGGAGGAACACCGA